UACAACAUGGAGCUGGUCACUGCUCCUGUAUAAACUAUAACAAACAAGGGAAAUUUAUUUUUCUCUAUGUAUGAGAGGGAACCACAGCCAAGGGGCAGGGUUUGCUUUGGACUUGAGAAAGUUGAUGGUAUAAUGGGGCAAGGGUAUAUAGCAUGCCAGGGCCUGGUCAAUGGGUACAAAAACACUGAUGAUCUCCGCACAACAUCUUGCGGCAUGUUGAUCAAACCAUUUAGGGUUUAGAAAGCUGCCACUGGGGAGCGGGAUGGACUAAAAAAAAAAAUCUAACUUAAUGGGAACUAAAAAGUAUAAAAAGCCAAGUAUAAGUAUAUGAAGACCUGACAUGACUUAAUACCAUCAUGCAAGUCUGAAGAAUAACUGAAGGUCUCCUGUGCUGUAAGAAUAUGUGCUGGUUCAUUUGCUGAUAAUGAACUGUGUGUUAGUUCUCUGCCACAUAAUCAGAAUAAAAGCUCUCAUUUUGGACCUUCUCUGCUCUGAGAGUGUAUUUAUGCAGCAGAGGUUGUGUGUUCCAACAACCAGUCACAGAUCUGUGGGCAGGCCACAAAGGCCCAGGCUUUGGGAGAGUGAAGGCUGGAUGCGGUAUGCUGUCUGCUGGCCACUGAAAGGGUUAACUUCUAUCCUUGAAACUUCUGUCCUUGCUCAAACUUCUUUGUGCAAAACAUGCAUAUAUGGCACAUACUCCCCAGCUGGCCUGAGCAGCCCCCAAUGCCCUUGGGCGAAUAUGUUUCUUAUCUCUUCUUAUCACGCAUACCAACACACCCCACUCUUACAACUUCUACAAAGUUUCUUUCUGGGGACACACAGAAUAAUACUUUUUUGUUUUCCCUUAGGCUAAGGCAUACCUUUGUUACACGUCAUAUUGGCUAUAUAAGCAACUGCUGUAACCCUAAUAAAUCGGAACUUGCUUUGCAACACACGUGCCUACUGUGUCGUUCUUUGUAAGACCCCUGCGCAGUGUAUCUGGAUGGUGUAAUCAGAUGGUUUCUGCCGUGCCAAGAUGAACCGGUUCGCCUAGGGAUAGCACAAUGAUAGCACAGUGAAAGCCCGGGAUUUCUCCUGUUCCUUUCAGCCACAGCUGUAUUAGGGGCUGGGAGGGAGAUUUUAACAGACAUUUUAAUCUCCCACUUGCCCAGUCCCCAGUGAAGAUGACUGCAAAGAAGAAGAUCGGAGGGGAUCAAAGCAGAUGCUGUGUAAAUCCAGCCAGAUAAAAGAGAAAUGUAUGUUUAUUUACAGGAUUAAAAAGGCUUUCAUAGGCUCAUAUCCUUCCAUUGUGUCUGUGUGGAGUUGAGAACUAAAGCCAUUAACCUUGAGAUUUCCUAGUGCUCCUGUGCACUGCCCUGCUGGGAUAAAAGCUCUGUUCUGCAGCUCUACUGGCAGGUAAUAAUUCUUACCUUCCGUGUUGUGAUCAGGAGACACGUCAUAGCUGAAAUGCUGAAUUACUUAUGCUAAAGGGAGCUAUCAAGAAAUAGCAGUUCAAUCCCUGCCACCUUGACAUUUAGUAAUCUCUGUUAUCUAGAUUUUCACUCUGGUAUAGUAUCUGAAAGUGAAUUUAGACUAGUGUAUGUUUGUACCUGCAACAGAGGAUUUUUUUUGGGCAAAAUCAGUAUACAGCAGGAACACAGAUUUUGGACAAUACCCCUAUCAAUGUCCAACAAUAGAUGUCCUCUGUAAUGCAUCAUCCCCUUCUACAAAAGUUUAUCAUAUAAUAAUGAAAGGUUUCCUGGAGAGCAUGCUCUUCAGCGAACCUUUCAUUAUUAUACGAGACCCCUAUCAUUUGUAUUGAAAUGAUUUGUCUGUUUUUACAACAUGUUUAUUGUUUUUUCAUAAACAAGUCAGCAAUGGAACAGUACAUAGACAAAAUUCCAAAAUAUUGAAUGAAGAAGCACAAAGAUACGAUAAACAAUGAUGAUCUUCAUGAACACAUCUAGAUCCAUAAAGAUCUAACAAAAAUCAUAAAAAUAAAUCUGAACAAAAUAAACAAUUUACAUUAGAGAAAAGAAACAAUACAUACAUGCAAGAAAUAAAAACAUUAGAGUACUUAGAGCAUUAAAUGGGAAACAAUUAGAUAAUUUCCA